AUCUUUUGUCUGAGGUUGAAUUUUCACGUAAUUACCUUUUUCUAAUUCUAUAUGUUCGAAAAAUAGAGUCUCUC
rnacentral:tRNA from 1 species